rnacentral:rRNA from 1 species
AGAGUUUGAUCCUGGCUCAGAGCGAACGCUGGCGGCAGGCUUAACACAUGCAAGUCGAACGGCACUUCGGUAUCAGUGGCAGACGGGUGAGUAACACGUGGGAACGUACCUUUGGUUCGGAACAACACAGGGAAACUUGUGCUAAUACCGGAUAAGCCCUUACGGGAAAGAUUUAUCGCCAAAAGAUCGGCCCGCGUCUGAUUAGCUAGUUGGUAGGGUAAUGGCCUACCAAGGCGACGAUCAGUAGCUGGUCUGAGAGGAUGAUCAGCCACAUUGGGACUGAGACACGGCCCAAACUCCUACGGGAGGCAGCAGUGGGGAAUAUCGGACAAUGGGCGCAAGCCUGAUCCAGCCAUGCCGCGUGAGUGAUGAAGGCCCUGGGGUUGUAAAGCCCUUUUGUACGGGAAGAUAAUGACGGUACCGUAAGAAUAAGCCCCGGCUAACUUCGUG